UACGUAGGUGGCAAGCGUUGUCCGGAUUUACUGGGCGUAAAGAGCGCGCAGGCGGUCGAAUAAGUCGAAUGUGAAAGCCCCCGGCUCAACUGGGGAGGGUCACGCGAUACUGAUCGACUGGAAGGCAGGAGAGGGUAGUGGAAUUCCCGGUGUAGUGGUGAAAUGCGUAGAUAUCGGGAGGAACACCAGUGGCGAAGGCGACUACCUGGCCUGUUCUUGACGCUGAGGCGCGAAAGCUAGGGGAGCAAACGGG
rnacentral:rRNA from 1 species